UCUGUUCCCCCCCUUUUGACUCUAUCUCGGCUCAGAGUAUUUAAGUAACAAAAGCCCUAAAAGUGGAAGGCAACAAAAUGGGAGGGAGCUUGGAAUUCCUCUUGCUUAAAAAAACAACACGCAAAAAAAAGACUUUACCCGUUCACACAAGAAGGCUCUAUGUGGCCAAGCUAGUGGCUGGUUUUUUACUUGGAAUUUUCCCCAGCAACAGGAUUCAUGAACGUUUUUGAAAGGGUCUUAAGGUCUGGAAGGCGUGAACGGCUCGGGGAUUUCGUAAAAAACUAGAUGUUAAGUGUAAGAUCCAUGGGUUAGAUUGGCAAGAUCGGGGAUGCAGUUCCCCUCACUGCCACAAGCUUGAAUACUGCUCUGCCCUUUAAAAACCCUUAUACGAUUGCUGGUGUUUUGACUGUUUCGUCACCUUUAACGGAUUGGAAAGGAUGACUACGACUUUUGGAUUUGACCACACCUUGGUCUCCCCAAAGCCUUUGUUUCGGAUAUGGAAAAGAAACUUUUUGUCGUAUGAUGUGACGGGGGGACUAGCAGUGGUUAUGACCUUCCCAAUUUGCAACUGAUGUAGUACUCAAGAAGGGCUCUGCACAGAAACAUUCUACAAGACUUGUCAAUGACGUCAGCAGAUGUGAUGGUGACCUGAAUGUGGGGCCCAAAAACCAUUGGUGGUAAAAAUUUUGAUGUGUCGUCGCUUAAUGCAACUGAAACCGUGAGAGGGAAAUAGACUUUACAGAGGGUUUAAAUAACAUCUUCAACAUUUUGGGGGCUGUUAGUGUGGGUAAAUUUUGGAACAGUUGAUGGUGUAGUGAUCAAAGAAAAUUUUUUUUGACGACAGCCGAGGAAAUUGGUAAGUUUACUUUGGGUUGGUUGGUGGAACAUGGUUACAAUAGUAGCACAAAAUGCUGAAGGAACGGACCUUUCAGCCUUUGAAAGGAAGGUUGUGUACAAGGAUACAACCGAGACCAUUUCUGGUGGUUUAACAUUUGAAGGCUCGGUUUCGGUUGAUACUCUUCACUUCGAAAGAGACUUUGAUGGUGUAUCAGAACAAGCAUACAAGUCUGCUUGGCUUCUAAAUGAAGGUCCCCAGACCCUAACUGGAGUGAACUCUCUUGCCAAUGUUGAUGCAUCUGCUGUGACCUUCCAAGGAACAUACAUAGAUAAUGUAGAUAUUGGUCGCUUGCAUACAAUGACUGCAAAGAUUGAUGAACAGACCACCCUGAAUUCGACAACAUUUGUUGAGGUGGAGUCAUUAUCUCCAAUUACCUUGGAUGGAACUAUCCAAGGCUGGCAUCUUCAUGAGCAGGCCUUGCAGUCUUCCUCAACACAUCAAAGGGUUACUGGCAGGAAGAAGUUUACAAAACCCAUACACAUUAAAAACAGUAUUGCUGUAAAUGACUUUGUCAUUGUUCCUAAAGUGGGUGGUGGGAGAACCCCUGUGGCUUAAAAUGAGCCAAUUCUGUAGCUUUUCAUGCAGAAUGGAAAGGUCAUGGGAGACCUUGUAGUAAACGGUAAUGCUGUGUUCAAUAAGGACUUGGCUAUCAGCAACUCCUUCAACAAUGAGAACGUGGCAACCCUUGCCAGUGUGUUUGGCUGAGUGACAGGGGAUAAACACAGUAUCUAGUGAAAGGACAUCGAUAGUGCCAAAGUCACUGGGAAUGCAACACAUCAUAAUAAAGGGGCAAGUCUUGUAGGCUUGAUAAAUGGUGAAGACUUCUCUACCUUGUCAGAAGAAGUACUGAAGAACACUUGAAAGAACAAAGGGUAACUGCAUCUUGGAAUAACAAGUAACGCAGCCUUGAAGCUUCUAGCUUGCAAGCAGACACUGUAACAAAUCCUCUACAGGAUUCGGAUGUGUUUGAGCUUGAAAGAAUCCUGAGGACAGACAAGAUGCAGACCAUUUCUGGUGCAAAGACCUUCCCAGAAGUCCAAGUAACAGGAUCUGUGGCUCUUGAUGGAACCCUCAAUGGACUGGAUGUGAAGACCAAUUUAGUGCAGUAUGGUAAGAGUGCUGAAAUAACUGCUGAAAAGACUUUCAAUCAAAAGCUGACCAUAAAAGGAGACUUGUCCAUGGGGCAGUGGUAGCAUUUUCCCUUGACUAACUUAGUUUUGAUUACAGGGUGUGAUGUAUCGGCAUUUGAAGAAUCUGCUGUACUACAUAAUGACAGUGGCAUUACAAAGCCUGUUAGUGGAAUUACUACCUUCAAAGGCUUGACCUUGAAAAACCUAGAAGUUGGUGGUACUGUUGAUGGUGUACAGGUAGAUAGUAAUACUAUUCUCCUGACCACUGGAGCACAAAAUGUAGCUGGCUUGGUCACGUAUCUGUACCUGGACAAGACAAGGUAGUCUUUGUUGAGCAGAACCUUGAGGUCCAGGACAAGAAGUUCAACUCGAUCAGUCUUGAUAAGCUGUAUGAAGAUACGGUUCGUGUUGAUGGGAACAAGGAUACCAUUACAGCAGAAGUAACCUUUGCAGCAUCUCCAACAUUUUCAAGCUUGACUCUUGAAAACCACCUUGUAAAUGGUUACAACUUGGGCAGACCUCAUAUUGGGACUUAAUGGUAAACACACCCUUUAUAAUAUGGGAGAUCUUCUAGAAGAGCCAUCAAAAGCUUCACAAGACUCAAAGGACUUGGGGGAAGAAAGGCCAACUGCCCUCUGGUAUUUAUGAAAAAAGGGUUUUCCAGGAAAAACUGUACAAGCUACAACCAGUCACGAAAGAAAAAGUGUUGUACUACCAACUCGUUGAUGUUUUUGUUGGCCUGAACUGAUGAUACAAUUUGUCCAGAAUUUUGGGCCUGAGUUUGGGAAGAAGAUCCUUGCUGUGAACAAAGGACCUCUUUAAAGAGAAGGAACAUUUGGAUGUGUUGUCGGCUUUCCCACCCAAAAGUGUUAAUUAGGUUCCUAAAGCAAAUGUAGCGCUGGCUUGGGGAAACAAACACUUGGCUGUAUGUGGCAACUCGCUUGUAAAAUUCCCCUAUACAGUUUAUCAAAUACCAACAGUACCUACAAUGCAGAGCCUAGGGCAGCAGCAUUUACCUUGGGGGGAAAACUACCUGGUUGUGCUGGAAGAGAUUCCUUCGCUCUUCCUCAAAUUUGAAGAUUUUAAAAAUGAUGCGGACCCCCAAAAGGCUUCACACCUUGAUGCCCUGGCUGGCAAGAAUGAAGCAUAUGUAGCAGUGACUCACAGCUCCUCCCCUAUUGCUACAGGGAGUGUUGACAUAUUCACCAUUAAGGAUAAAUCUGGUUCUGUGGAGAUGGAGAAAAUGCAGACCUUGAAGGUGCCUGGUGCUUUGGCAAGUAACUUUGGAGAAUUGCCCAAAAGUAUGAUGUGGGUCUCUUCAUCCAGACUGAGCAUGGUGUUCAUGUGUAUGUUUUGAAGGGAAUGCAGUUCGUGUACGAAAGGAUGGUAAAAACUGUACCUGCACGGAAACCCUUCUCAUUCCCAUUCUACCAUACGGGCCAGAAUACCACCUUCCUUCUGUACGCUGGCAAUGAUGUUGAAGGUGGACAGCUAGGUGGGAAUGCAAGAGCUUAUGAAGCAGUCUACAGGCCUUAGUUUUAAUCUUUUAAAAUAUAUUUAAUUAGAACUCUC